UACGUAGGGGGCAAGCGUUGUCCGGAUUUACUGGGCGUAAAGAGCGUGUAGGCGGCCAAGCAGGUCCGUUGUGAAAACUGGAGGCUUAACCUCCAGACGUCGACGGAAACCGCGUGGCUAGAGUCCGGAAGAGGAGAGUGGAAUUCCUGGUGUAGCGGUGAAAUGCGCAGAUAUCAGGAAGAACACCAAUGACGAAGGCAGCUCUCUGGGACGGUACUGACGCUGAGACGCGAAAGCGUGGGGAGCGAACAGG
rnacentral:rRNA from 1 species